CUCUUCUCAGAGCCCCAGAGGCCAAGACACACCUCUUUUCUUCAGGGCAAGAAGAAGCCAAGGCGACUCCAGACUCCAUGAUCCUCAGAGCUCACCCGCCUACAGGAGGGGUCAUAUGGUCUUCUGAAGGUCAGGAGACCUUCCCAGGAAGGAAUGCCAUCUGUCCUCCCUACCCAGGCUGGCCAUGAAGGUUGACAAAGACUGAAUUUUCAUGUCCUGGAGGAAAGGGACCCCACUUGGAAAACUGUUUCUAUUAAUGGAUCCUGGGCUAUUCUUUUUGACUGGAGAGAGUGAAAUGAAGGAAAAUAUGGGACAGAGUUGAUGGAAAUUUGGGGGUAAGAAUAAAACAGGGUGGAGGAGCGAAGAAGAUGAGACCUGGAAGCCAGGGGCCCAGAGCCCUCAACAGAGGAAGGUUUCCAGUUUGGAGAUCCCUGCAAAGCGCAUCUCUAAGGACUGAUUCUCCCCGGUGCCAUCCAUCACAGCCCUCCUAUGAGAACAUACUCCCCAAGGGCUGAGCACCCACAGGGACUUCCCACGCAGUGAGCGCAAGCUUGAUCCCUACUCUUCCCUCAUCUACUCUGUGGGCCCCUUCUGGCACCCCUAAGACUCCUGUAAAUAGAGGAGCCCUGUACCCCAACUCCAGAGGUGAAUAAGUAGCCCAGGGUACUCCCUGCCAGGUUCCAAGUCACCAUCACUGUCAGCCCCCC
ensembl:lncRNA